UUUUUUUUUUGGUUUUUUUUUUUUUGGUUUUUGAAAUUGGCCAGGCAGUUCCAGACACAAGCAUGUUUGUAGCUGGCCCUGAUGACAGAAGUAGCUGUGGCUUCCAGCUGUGUGUUAACACAAUAGCCUUAACGGUUUGGCCGGAUUCUGGAUGGGUCCCUAGAGAACAGCUCUGCUUUUUAAAGGUACACCGCGGCUGCCGUGAUCGGCUCCCCCGUUGGGGGGAGGGGGAUUGUAUGUCUCGUGAGUACCCCCCGACCUGCAAAGGGCAUUGGGGGUAUGUGAUGAGAGGAGCGGGGCCGAUAUCCAUGGGAACGGAGCGAGGUCGGUGGAGUUGAUGUUAAUACGCGACACCUGCGCCACUCACCGGUCUCGACCAGGCCUGGAUUUUAUUUUGUGUUUUGGUUCUGUUUGUGCUCGACAGUCGUCCGUGAGGGGCUGUCGCACUAUUUUGUGUUUAUUUUAUUAUUAAAGUUUUUGUUUAAAUGUUCACUGGUUCCCGCCUCCUUCUUCCCAAUGUAUGAGCUUUGUUACAU
ensembl:lncRNA